rnacentral:misc_RNA from 1 species
GAACUAAAUUUGAAUUCGCGUCAUAUAAGAUUCAAGUAAUUCACAAUUACUAACUAAACUUAAAAUUGAAAAUGAAUAGUAUUAUACUAUACUGUUGUAUUAGGAUCAGUAGGUGGUUGUUGACCAAUAACACCGUCUCCGCCACUGCCAUCACCACCACCACUACUACUUCCUCCUUCUGCCGCGACAGCACUUCCAGCUGUCGCGACCGAACUGGAUGUACUGGGCCGUUUACGUUUCUUCUUUUCAUAAGGAAUUCCUCUAGCUUUUGCUUGACUUUCUCUAACUUCCCUUAAAUAAAUUCUAACAGCUUU